UCCUUGCCGGACCCCACCCU
rnacentral:piRNA from 1 species